rnacentral:rRNA from 1 species
UAAAAAAAAAAAGGGGGCGGGCUGGAUAGAAUGUGGGGGGGCAGGCAUUCCCUACCUCAAUGCAGAUCGUACAGCCAAGAUCGAGUGUGUUAGUGUGGUGGCGAGUGCGACCGGGGGAGUAAUACAUCGGAACGUGCCGAUGUAGUGGGGGAUACCUAGGCGAAAGAUGAGUUAAAUCCCGCAUACGCUCUGAGGGAGAAAGAGGGGGACUUCAAGCCUUCACGCUAUAGGAGCGCCCGAUGUCUGAUUAGUUAGUUGGUGGGGUAAAGGCCCACCAAGGCGACGAUCAGUAGCUGUUCUGAGAGGACGAUCACCCACACUGGGAUUGAGACACGUCCCAGACUCUUGGGGGAGGCAGCAGUGGGGAAUUUUGGACAAUGGGGGAAUCCCUGAUCCAGCAAUCCCGCGUGUGUGAAGAAGCCUUUGGGGUUGUAAAUCACUUUUGUCCGGAAAGAAAUCGUGUUUGUUAAUACUUGGUGCGGAUGGCGGUCUCGCAAGAAUAACCCCGGGUUAAUUACGUCCCACCACCCGGGGUAAUACGUGGGGUCCAAGCGUUAUUGGGAUUUUCUGGGCGUAAAGCGUGCGCGGGGGUUUUUGAAAGACAGAUGUAAAAUCCCGGGGCUUACCCGGGGAAUCCCAUUGGUGACUGCAAGGUUAGAGUAUGUCAGAGGGGGGUAGAUUUCCGCGUGUAGCAGUAAAAUGGGUAGAGAUGGGGAGGAAUCCCGAGGGGGAAGGCAGCCCCCGGGGAUAACACUGACGUUCAUGCACGAAAGCGUGGGGAGCAAACAGGAUUAGAUCCCCUGGUAGUCCACGCCUUAAACGAUGUCAACUAGUUGUUGGGGAUUCAUUCCUUAGUAACGUAGCUAACGCGUGAAGUGACCGCAUGGGUAG